AUUGAACGCUGGCGGCAUGCUUUACACAUGCAAGUCGAACGGCAGCACGGGGGCAACCCUGGUGGCGAGUGGCGAACGGGUGAGUAAUGCAUCGGAACGUGUCUUCGAGUGGGGGAUAAC
rnacentral:rRNA from 1 species